CAGAGAGGCUUGGGGUCACCCACUGGGCUCUGGGCGAGUUCUCAGACCGGUUUCUGGUAUUUGCCAAUCAACGGGUUGCCCUGGGCCAGCGAGAAAUUCAGAGAGAACUAUCCUUAACUUGGAAAAGGGAGCAGACGGAGCCUAGGCCUCCCUGGAGAAGAAGGCAGGCAAGGGGGAGGAGAGAAGAUGGAGAGAAAGUGGGGAGAGGGCGAGAGUAGGAGAGGAAAGAGCCUGAUGGAAACCACCUAGGACAGCCUGGAGUCAGAGGUGACAUCCUCUCUGCCCAGGGAGGACGUGGACACAGGCCCGUCCUUGCCCUGUGAUUUCACUGGGCUGAGACAUCUGAGGUCACUGCCAGCUCUGCUCUCCCCGUGUCUGUGAGCACUUCCACAGCCAGGGCCGAGGCCCAGGCCCCCAAGGGCACGGAGGCCGGCUGAACCAGACCACUCAGAAAGAGAAACCCACGUCUGGGCCUGACGGGGGCAUUGUGGAAGGAUGCGCCAGGGAGCAAGAGCAGCUGACCUUAGGGUCCCUUCUUCGUCUCAAAGUCUGAGACCUCCGUUCUGCCACACACAGCAGUCUCUCGCUGCUCUGCCAUGAGGGAAAGGACGCACAUCCGGCAGGGGGGUCCUCUCGGCACUCCUCAAGCCCUUUUGGACAACCCAGAGUAUACAGGAGAUGGCCACAUGGAGGGAACCCACCUCCCCACACCUGAGCCCACGAGACUGCCAGUGUGCUCCUCAUGGCACAGAUGAAGACAAGGAAACGCAGAGAAAUCGCUAUCUGCUUCCAGAUGGCCCAGCUCAUCGACAGACUGUGCUGAGAGCCUAGUGGAAUGCCCAGUCCUACAGUCUUCAACCUACUACGUUCAUUCUUCAUCAUAGGUUGAGUUUCAACUUAAAAAUAUAUAUGAUGGGGGGGGAAAGGUGGCAUGGUGGU